rnacentral:rRNA from 1 species
GAUGAACGCUGGCGGCGUGCCUAAUACAUGCAAGUCGAGCGAACGGACGAUAAGCUUGCUUCUCUGAUGUUAGCGGCGGACGGGUGAGUAACACGUGGAUAACCUACCUAUAAGACUGGGAUAACUUCGGGAAACCGGAGCUAAUACCGGAUCAUAUUUUGAACCGCAUGGUUCAAAAGUGAAAGACGGUCUUGCUGUCACUUAUAGAUGGAUCCGCGCUGCAUUAGCUAGUUGGUAAGGUAACGGCUUACCAAGGCAACGAUGCAUAGCCGACCUGAGAGGGUGAUCGGCCACACUGGAACUGAGACACGGUCCAGACUCCUACGGGAGGCAGCAGUAGGGAAUCUUCCGCAAUGGGCGAAAGCCUGACGGAGCAACGCCGCGUGAGUGAUGAAGGUCUUCGGAUCGUAAAACUCUGUUAUUAGGGAAGAACAUAUGUGUAAGUAACUGUGCACAUCUUGACGGUACCUAAUCAGAAAGCCACGGCUAACUACGUG